AAGGUCCUAGCUUAGUUAAAGUACCUGGGUUGCAUUCAGGAGAUGUAGGUUAAUAUCCUACGGACUUUA
rnacentral:tRNA from 1 species